rnacentral:rRNA from 1 species
UACGUAGGGCGCAAGCGUUGUCCGGAAUUAUUGGGCGUAAAGAGCUCGUAGGCGGUUUGUCGCGUCUGCUGGUGAAAACCUAAGGCUCAACCUUGGGACUUGGCAGUGGGUACGGGCAGACUAGAGUGCGGUAGGGGUGACUGGAAUUCCGUGGUGAUAGCGGUGGAAUGCGCAGAUAUCAGGAGGAACACCGAUGGCGAAGGCAGGUCACUGGGCCGCA